AAAUUCUUCACCCUAGUACACAAGAUAAGUCGUCCAUUUAGUGGGACAACAUGCUAUUCUAACAAUCUCGCCUGCCAUCCUGCUGCUGGAGAUAUGCGAAGUGCCCUGAAAAUCAAAAUACACAAUGCUAUCAAUUCAGCAAUUCUUGUUGAUUCCGAGGACCGGGGGAUAUUUGUAGGGGGACGGAGGAGGAACCGGAAGAAGAAGAGAACCAAACAUGUAAAGACUGAGAAAAAGAAGAACAAGAGGUCCCAGAGUGGGAAGGAGUCCACAGACAUGAAGAACAACAGCAGCAAAGUUGAACACCAACAGCUGUUGGAGGAGGACACCAAGCCCCUGAUUGAGUCGGGAUUCUGUGACAGCAUCGUCUCCUUUGGCGAUUUCAUUGACCUUGACCUUGGCCGUGACCUUGACCGCGAGGAGGACGAGGAGGAAGACAUCCCCCCUCUGGUGGACAGUGGCCUUACCCUAGCGCCGCUUGUACAGUACUCGUAUGCGGUACCAAACAUUGUUGACUACAUAGAGCAGGUCGAAACUGAUAACAUGCCGCUUUUUAAGAAAAAACCACCAGUAAGCGAAGAAAAACAACUUCAAGAAAAACCAAAUGAAAAUCAGCAACAGAAAACAACUGAUGAAAACAACCAAGGUCAAACCAAAGAACCGGAGACCCAAACUUUGAACGAAAACGAGGUCAAAGAGGAACUUAAGCCGACCCAAGAAAAACCGGAAAUGACGCAGGAAGAAGUGGACAGUGGCACUAGCUCUCCAGCAGAGGAUGGCAAGGCGAUGGUAAUUAGUGAUGAAGCAAAACUCAAGACAACACAAGACAAACCUGAGGGGGACGAGAAACAAACUCUGGAAGAAGAUGGCGUCAGCAUGCAAUACCAAAACGAUAUCGAUGGCGUAGUCAUUGAAACGGAACAGAAAACAACUGCCGUUGUCACAGAGCAACCAGCUGGCCAGGUACAGCUGAACUCUAAGGAGUCAUCUCCCCUCAUUAACAAGGAGGACGAUCUGCCCUGCUUGUGUUGCACAAUCCUUUAAGAAAGAAGCACUACAGAUUUUUGUUUCGUCAGAUGAUACUUUCGACAAUCAGCGCGACUGUAAAAAUAUAAAAACAAUGCAUGCUUUUGUGAACAAAUUGGAAUGCUUUUUGUAUAAUUUUGGAAUGUUUUCUAGAACAAGUAAAUACAUUUAGGUGUCAUUAUAAAGUCUUUCAUGUUGCAAGAUUUGUAGUUAAUAAAGAAAGAAUUAUUAUUAAGAUGAAAAUGAAUCGAAAACGUGAAGAGGUGUUCGAAAACAGAGCCACUGAGGACCCCCAAAGCUAGUCACGUGAUGGCUUGGGUAGUGGAAACUGGUAACCUUGCGAUAAUUAUUAUAUAGUUAUUAUUUUUUUAGAUUGCUUAUCUGGUGCAUUUGUAUACUGUUUACUCACUGUAGAAUACUGAAUGAAUGAAUUAUGAAAAAUUC
rnacentral:misc_RNA from 1 species